rnacentral:rRNA from 1 species
UGGGGAAUAUUGCACAAUGGGGGAAACCCUGAUGCAGCGACGUCGCGUGAGCGAAGAAGGCCUUCGGGUCGUAAAGCUCUGUCCUAUGGGAAGAAAAGGACGGUACCAUAGAAGGAAGCCCCGGCUAACUACGUGCCAGCAGCCGCGGUAAUACGUAGGGGGCGAACGUUAUCCGGAAUGAUUGGGCGUAAAGGGUACGUAGGCGGCUUUUUAAGUCAGGUGUGAAAGGCAUGGGCUCAACCCAUGUAAGCACUUGAAACUGGGAAGCUUGAGGGAAGGAGAGGAAAGUGGAAUUCCUAGUGUAGCGGUGAAAUGCGUAGAUAUUAGGAGGAAUACCGGUGGCGAAGGCGACUUUCUGGACUUUUUCUGACGCUGAGGUACGAAAGCGUGGGGAGCGAACAGG